rnacentral:rRNA from 1 species
UACGUAGGGGGCAAGCGUUAUCCGGAUUUACUGGGUGUAAAGGGAGCGUAGGCGGCUUAGUAAGUCAGAAGUGAAAGCCCGCAGCUCAACUGCGGGACUGCUUUUGAAACUGCCAAGCUAGAGUGUCGGAGAGGUAAGUGGAACUCCAUGUGUAGCGGUGAAAUGCGUAGAUAUAUGGAAGAACACCAGUGGCGAAAGCGGCUCUCUGGUCUGUAACUGACGCUGAGGUUCGAAAGCGUGGGUAGCAAACAGG